CAUCAACUUUAUUAAAUACUGUGAGAACAAAGACGACAUGCUGAAGGUGUGGAGGGGGCGGAGUCUCCUCUGCUCUCAGCUCCACGACAUGAAAGUUUCCAUUCAUGUGUUCAUCUUGUUCCAUACACACCUGCAGCUGGGUCAGCACACACACCUGGGCUCUGAAGUGACAGGAUGCUCAGGAUAUUUUCAAAUUAAAAGACUCAUUUAUGACUGUCCAGAAACAAACAAGAACUUCUUUUCUUCCUGCUGAAGAUUUAUUAUUAGUGUUUCUUGAACACAGGUGACCAGGUAUGUGUCAGGUAUGAGUCAGGUGUGUAUCAGGCAUAAGUCAGGUACAAGUCAGGUGUGUAUCAGGUAUAAGUCAGGUGUGUAUCAGGUAUAAGUCAGGUAUAAGUCAGGUGUGUAUCAGGUAUAAGUCAGGUGUGUAUCAGGUAUAAGUCAGGUAUAAGUCAGGUGUGUAUCAGGUAUAAGUCAGGUAUAAGUCAGGUGUGUAUCAGGUAUAAGUCAGGUAUAAGUCAGGUGUGUAUCAGGUAUAAGUCAGGUGUGUAUCAGGUAUAAGU